CAUAGUGUUCAUCCGAACUAUGCGGCUUAUUAAGAAGCAUACGGAUUAUGUCAAUAGAACAUUGCUAUCUGCCAUUAAGCGUCAUUAGAAGAAAAAAUCAUUGUGUGGAAAGAUGUAUUCCAAGCGUGUGAAAAAAUCGGGAAACUUGUAGAGAAGGCGUGCUAAAAUUAUGCGUGAGUUGUUUGAGAACGGAGACGACUGCGAAAUAAUCGAUAAUACAGAAUCAACAAACUUUGAUCAUGCGGUUGAACAAAUAUCCGACAGUUCCAGUUCAGAAGAUGAUGAGUGUGGGAUCCUGAGUAUGAAUGUAGUGGUGUGAGUGCGGAACGGCAAUGGAUGAGAGGCCGCCAGUCUUAGUUGAAUGCUGAAUAAAGGAGGCUGUGUUGCGUGAACUGGUAAA